rnacentral:rRNA from 1 species
GACGUAGGGCGCAAGCGUUGUCCGGAUUUAUUGGGCGUAAAGAGCUCGUAGGCGGCUCGUUGCGUCGGCUGUGAAAACCCGCAGCUCAACUGUGGGCUUGCAGCCGAUACGGGCGGGCUAGGAUUCGGUAGGGGAGACUGGAAUUCCAGGUGUAGCGGUGAAAUGCGCAGAUAUCAGGAGGAACACCGGUGGCGAAGGCGGGUCUCUGGGCCGAUAUCGACGCUGAGGAGCGAAAGCGUGGGGAGCGAACAGG